UAAGUCCCCUUUAAGGAUGCCUGCAGGAUAGAUAUUGGGGUUCCCAGUACAUUUUCUCUGGGGUACCAAUAGACUAUCCUGCCCUUGACUCCCAAUCCUCUGCUGCUCUUAUUUGAUGUUGUGGCUCUUAUUUGAUGUUGUGAUUAGCAGGGUCACAGACCUAAAAAGUCCCACACCAUGAUUCUGUUCACUGGAUCUCUAGUUCUGUUGUCCUUCAUGUGGAUGUCUCCGCCUAGUGGCCAAUGUGAGAAUCAAGCAGCACUCAGUAAGUAGCAGUAAGUAGUAGUAAGCACUCGAUACGAGGUCCCGUUGUCCAGCAUUCCUGUCUUCUCCUGUCACAACACUCACCAGCCUGGUGGCAUAACAAGAGCAGGGCACACAUGGAACAACAUGGAGACUUCCUCACGCCCAGCAGUGUGAAAGCACCUCUGCUUUCAGACCAAUCACCCAAAGAAAGCAAAUGAUUGGGUAUUUUAAGCCCAGCGUUCAUUUAGCCUGUUUACAUGAAGGACGUUUCGGGCUCUCUCGGGAUUAGAAUGUUUUUAGGGAAAUGGGACUUCUUGAGUCUUCCUUUGGGAGAUUCUGAUUGGACAGCCGUGACUUUUAUGCAACAUUGUCCCAGUUUUGUAUUGCUGUAGAACAUGUAAUAAAAAUGAUCAACAAAA